rnacentral:rRNA from 1 species
GGUUAAGCGACUAAGCGUACACGGUGGAUGCCCUGGCAGUCAGAGGCGAUGAAGGGCGUACUAAUCUGCGAUAAGCGCCGGUAAGGUGAUAUGAACCGUUAUAACCGGCGAUACCCGAAUGGGGAAACCCAGUGUGAUUCGUCACACUAUCAUUAACUGAAUCCAUAGGUUAAUGAGGCGAACCGGGGGAACUGAAACAUCUAAGUACCCCGAGGAAAAGAAAUCAACCGAGAUUCCCCCAGUAGCGGCGAGCGAACGGGGAGGAGCCCAGAGCCUGAAUCAGCAUGUGUGUUAGUGGAAGCGUCUGGAAAGGCGCGCGAUACAGGGUGACAGCCCCGUACACAAAAGCGCAUGUGCUGUGAGCUCGAUGAGUAGGGCGGGACACGUGGUAUCCUGUCUGAAUAUGGGGGGACCAUCCUCCAAGGCUAAAUACUCCUGACUGACCGAUAGUGAACCAGUACCGUGAGGGAAAGGCGAAAAGAACCCCGGCGAGGGGAGUGAAAAAGAACCUGAAACCGUGUACGUACAAGCAGUGGGAGCACCCUUUGGGUGUGACUGCGUACCUUUUGUAUAAUGGGUCAGCGACUUAUAUUCUGUAGCAAGGUUAACCGAAUAGGGGAGCCGGAGGGAAACCGAGUCUUAACCGGGCGUUAAGUUGCAGGGUAUAGACCCGAAACCCGGUGAUCUAGCCAUGGGCAGGUUGAAGGUUGGGUAACACUAACUGGAGGACCGAACCGACUAAUGUUGAAAAAUUAGCGGAUGACCUGUGGCUGGGGGUGAAAGGCCAAUCAAACCGGGAGAUAGCUGGUUCUCCCCGAAAGCUAUUUAGGUAGCGCCUCGUGAAUUCAUCUCCGGGGGUAGAGCACUGUUUCGGCUAGGGGGCCAUCCCGGCUUACCAACCCGAUGCAAACUGCGAAUACCGGAGAAUGUUAUCACGGGAGACACACGGCGGGUGCUAACGUCCGUCGUGAAGAGGGAAACAACCCAGACCGCCAGCUAAGGUCCCAAAGUCAUGGUUAAGUGGGAAACGAUGUGGGAAGGCCCAGACAGCCAGGAUGUUGGCUUAGAAGCAGCCAUCAUUUAAAGAAAGCGUAAUAGCUCACUGGUCGAGUCGGCCUGCGCGGAAGAUGUAACGGGGCUAAACCAUGCACCGAAGCUGCGGCAGCGA